CCUACGGGGGGCAGCAGUGAGGAAUAUUGGUCAAUGGACGAGAGUCUGAACCAGCCACGUAGCGUGAAGGAUGAAUGCCCUAUGGGUGGUAAACUUCUUUUAUAUGGGAAUAAAAUGUUCCACGUGUGGGAUUUUGUAUGUACCAUAUGAAUAAGGAUCGGCUAACUCCGUGCCAGCAGCCGCGGUAAUACGGAGGAUCCGAGCGUUAUGCGGAUUUAUUGGGUUUAAAGGGAGCGUAGGUGGAUUGUUAAGUCAGUUGUGAAAGUUUGCGGCUCAACCGUAAUAUUGCAGUUGAAACUGGAAGUCUUGAGUACAGUAGAGGUGGGCGGAAUUCGUGGUGUAGCGGUGAAAUGCGUAGAUAUCACGAAGAACACCGAUUGCGAAGGCAGCUCACUGGACUGCAACUGACACUGAGGCGCGAAAGUGUGGGUAUCAAACAGGAUUAGAUACCCGUGUAGUC
rnacentral:rRNA from 1 species